GACGAACGCUGGCGGCGUGCUUAACACAUGCAAGUCGAACGAUGAAGCUAGAGCUUGCUCUGGUGAAUUAGUGGCGAACGGGUGAGUAACACGUGAGUAACCUGCCCCGAACUCUGGGAUAACUGCUGGAAACGGUAGCUAAUACUGGAUCCGACCUACGAAGGCAUCUUCUGUAGGUGGAAAGAAUUUCGGUUCGGGAUGGACUCGCGGCCUAUCAGCUUGUUGGUGAGGUAAUGGCUCACCAAGGCGACGACGGGUAGCCGGCCUGAGAGGGUGACCGGCCACACUGGGACUGAGACACGGCCCAGACUCCUACGGGAGGCAGCAGUGGGGAAUAUUGCACAAUGGGCGCAAGCCUGAUGCAGCAACGCCGCGUGAGGGAUGACGGCCUUCGGGUUGUAAACCUCUCUUAGUAGGGAAGAAGCGAAAGUGACGGUACCUGCAGAAAAAGCACCGGCUAACUACGUGCCAGCAGCCGCGGUAA
rnacentral:rRNA from 1 species